rnacentral:rRNA from 1 species
GACGAACGCUGGCGGCGUGCCUAAUACAUGCAAGUCGAGCGGACGAAUCGAAAGCUUGCUUUUGAUUCGUUAGCGGCGGACGGGUGAGUAACACGUGGGCAACCUGCCCUGUAGACGGGGAUAACACCGAGAAAUCGGUGCUAAUACCGGAUAACACGAAAUGUCGCAUGACGUUUCGUUGAAAGACGGCGCAAGCUGUCGCUACAGGAUGGGCCCGCGGCGCAUUAGCUAGUUGGUGAGGUCACGGCUCACCAAGGCGACGAUGCGUAGCCGACCUGAGAGAGUGGUCGGCCACACGAGGACUGGGACGGGGCCCUGACUCCUACGAGAGGCAGCAGUAGGGAAUCUGCCGCAAUGGACGAAAGUCUGACGGAACAACGCCGCGUGAGAGAAGAAGGCCUUCGGGUCGUAAAGCUCUGUUGUUAGGGAAGAACAAGUAACGCAGUAACUGGCGUUAGCGUGACGGUACCUAACGAGAAAGCCACGGCUAACUACGUG